GGAUUAAGAUGGGCAUGCGUGUCAUUAGCUAGUUGGCGGGGUAACGGCCCACCAAGGCGACGAUGACUAGGGGAUCUGAGAGGAUGACCCCCCACACUGGUACUGAGCCACGGACCAGACUCCUACGGGAGGCAGCAGUAAGGAAUAUUGGUCAAUGGAGGCAACUCUGAACCAGCCAUGCCGCGUGCAGGAAGACAGCCCUCUGGGUCGUAAACUGCUUUUAUUCGGGAAUAAACCACAUUACGUGUAAUGUGCUGAAUGUACCGAAGGAAUAAGGAUCGGCUAACUCCGUGCCAGCAGCCGCGGUAAUACGGAGGAUCCAAGCGUUAUCCGGAUUUAUUGGGUUUAAAGGGUGCGUAGGCGGCUUAUUAAGUCAGGGGUGAAAGACGGUGGCUCAACCAUCGCAGUGCCUUUGAUACUGAUGAGCUUGAAUACACUAGAGGUAGGCGGAAUGUGACAAGUAGCGGUGAAAUGCAUAGAUAUGUCACAGAACACCGAUUGCGAAGGCAGCUUACUAUGGUGUGAUUGACGCUGAGGCACGAAAGCGUGGGGAUCAAACAGGAUUAGAUACCCUGGUAGUCCACGCCCUAAACGAUGAAUACUCGCUGUUAGCGAUAUACAGUUAGCGGCUAAGCGAAAGCGUUAAGUAUUCCACCUGGGGAGUACGCCCGCAAGGGUGAAACUCAAAGGAAUUGACGGGGGCCCGCACAAGCGGAGGAGCAUGUGGUUUAAUUCGAUGAUACGCGAGGAACCUUACCCGGGCUUGAAAGUUAGUGAAUCAUUUAGAGAUAGAUGAGUCCGCAAGGACACGAAACUAGGUGCUGCAUGGCUGUCGUCAGCUCGUGCCGUGAGGUGUUGGGUUAAGUCCCGCAACGAGCGCAACCCCUAUGUUUAGUUGCCAGCACGUUAUGGUGGGGACUCUAAACAGACUGCCUGUGCAAACAGAGAGGAAGGAGGGGACGACGUCAAGUCAUCAUGGCCCUUACGUCCGGGGCUACACACGUGCUACAAUGGAUGGUACAGAGGGCAGCAAGCUGGCAACAGCAAGCGAAUCUCAAAAAGCCAUUCACAGUUCGGAUAGAGGUCUGCAACUCGACCUCUUGAAGUUGGAUUCGCUAGUAAUCGCGUAUCAGCAAUGACGCGGUGAAUACGUUCCCGGGCCUUGUACACACCGCCCGUCAAGCCAUGGAAGUUGGGGGUACCUAAAGUAUGUAACCGCAAGGAGCGUCCUAGGGUAAAACCGAUAACUGGGGCUAAGUCGUAACAAGGUA
rnacentral:rRNA from 1 species